GACAGAGGGUGCAAACGUUGUUCGGAUUUACUGGGCGUAAAGGGCGCGUAGGCGGUCAGCACAAGUCAGUUGUGAAAUCUCCGGGCUUAACUCGGAAAGGUCAACUGAUACUGUGCGACUAGAGUGCGGAAGGGGCAACUGGAAUUCUCGGUGUAGCGGUGAAAUGCGUAGAUAUCGAGAGGAACACCUGCGGCGAAGGCGGGAUCCUGGGCCAGUACUGACGCUGAGGAGCGAAAGCGUGGGGAGCAACAGG
rnacentral:rRNA from 1 species